AACCAUGUGUCUUACAGUUCUAGAUUCUUAUCGGGAUGAUUCUGAAGAACACACUUUAUUGUUGUCCUUGCCGUAUUAAAGUCCGGGUAUGGAGCAAAAUACAGUUAUUUCGGUUAUUUAUAAAAAAUUUUUUAAAAAAGACACAUGAUUAAUAUCAUAUCAGAAGUAGAAUUAUAUUCACUGCGGGAGCGGAGAGUUUCAUCAGACAGGCCAGUACAGGCAAAUACAAGAUGAAGACCUGCAGAAGUUAUCCACUCAUGUAUCCAAACUCCUCCACGGUAAAUACUUCGGAAAUGAAACCGUGGGUGCCCAGCAGAGACCUUUUAUUUUUGUACCUCAUCGUUUCAGCAACAAAAUACAACCGGACAUUGCCCGAGGAUGUCCUUCAGAUGCUGCGGGACCUGCUGUGCUCCCCCCAGACCACUGAGCAGUUCGGCACUGUCUUGUGCCAUUCUAAGGGAGAGUAUUCCCUGUGACUUCUGGAACCUGUCCAGUGAGGAGGCUAACAGUAAAACUAUGAGCCAUGUAGCUGAGAUGACUCUUGCACAGAUCUGCAUCCUCUCAGCCCUCUGAGAGGAUACCCCUGCAUCCGAGCGUGAGGAUAUCAAGCUCAAUGGAGGCGUUCAGACACCCCUACUACAGGGGCAUGUCCCUGUAUAUAUUGAGGGACGAGGCAGGCACUGGAGACCCUAUCGACAGGUUGAGUGUGCUUCAUGAGGUGCUAGCGGACAUUGCUGACAGCCCGCGGAUUGUGCAGUGCGCUCAAACCACCCCCGUCCUGCUCCAAGCCUUCUUUAACAAGGCAGCCCAGUUUGCAGAUGAGAAGUUGAUAAACCAGCUGGUGCUUGUUAUACUGGAGAGGAGCAGCCUGUUGUAUGAUAUACCGAGCUACAAGAGGGAAGUGCAGAGGUGUUUAGCUCCCAGCUGCUGGCGCUGUGUAAACUGCACCCCUCCCUCACUGUGGAACAGUCCAAGGAGCUGAUGGAAUUCUCAGGGACCACAGGCAAGGUACGGGGCAAUGUCAGUCCCUUGGCAGGACUAUGAGUUAUUACUUGGGGCACACUUUACAUACAAAACCCUUUUUUUUUUCUAACCGUCAUAAGUUGAGACUAUAC